rnacentral:rRNA from 1 species
GUCUUCUUGUAAUAUUUAGGAAGUCUGACCUGCCCAGUGAAAAUUUAAAUUUAACGGCCGCGGUAUUCUGACCGUGCAAAGGUAGCAUAAUCAUUAGUCUUUUAAUAGAGGGCUGGAAUGAAGGGUUUGACGAGGUGUUGACUGUCUCAUUUAAUUUGAAUUUAGAAUUUAACUUUUUAGUCAAAAGGCUGAAAUAAUAUUGGAAGACGAGAAGACCCUAUAGAGCUUUAUAGUAUUUUUAUUAAUAAAUUUUAGUAAAUGGUUAUUUAUUAUUAUAAUCUAUUAUUUUGUUGGGGUGACAAAAAUAUAUAAUAAACUUUUUUAUUUAUUUAACAUUGAUUUAUGAUUAUUAGAUCCAAUUUUAUUGAUUAUUAGAACAAGUUACCUUAGGGAUAACAGCGUAAUCUUCUUUCAGAGUUCAUAUUUACAAGAAGGCUUGCGACCUCGAUGUUGGAUUAAGAUGAUAAUUAGGUGUAGCUGCUUAAUGUAUAGGUCUGUUCGACCUUUAAAUUCUU